rnacentral:rRNA from 1 species
GAGCACGUAGGUGGGUUUGUAAGUCAGAUGUGAAAGCCUUCUGUUCAACGGGAGAAUUGCAUCUGAAACUACAGACCUUGAGUAUAGGAGGGGAGAAUGGAACUUCUGGUGGAGCGGUGAAAUGCGUAGAUAUCAAAAGGAACGCCGGCGGCGAAAGCGAUUCUCUGGCCUAUUACUGACACUCAGUGCGCGAAAGCUAGGGGAGCAAACGGGAUUAGAUACCCCGGUAGUCCUAGCCGUAAACGAUGGGCACUAAGUAGAGGGAAUUACCGAUGUUCUCUCUGCCGUAGCUAACGCAUUAAGUGCCCCGCCUGGGGAGUACGGCCGCAAGGCUAAAACUCAAAAGAAUUGACGGGGGCUCGCACAAGCGGUGGAGCAUGUGGCUUAAUUCGAUGCAACGCGAAAAACCUUACCGGGGCUUGACAUGGUAGAAGUAGGAACCCGAAAGGGUAACGAACGGUAUCCAGUCCGCAGCUAUCACAGGUGUUGCAUGGCUGUCGUCAGCUCGUGUCGUGAGACGUUGGGUUAAGUCCCCUAACGGGCGAAACCCUUGUUUUUAGUUACCAGCGGGUUGUGCCGGGUACUCUAGAAAGACUGCCGUCGUCAAGACGGAGGAAGGUGGGGAUGACGUCAAGUCAUCAUGGCCCUUAUGCCCCGGGCUGCACACGUGCUACAAUGGUCGGUACAAACGGAAGCGAGGCCGAGAGGUGAAGCGAAUCC